rnacentral:rRNA from 1 species
CGCCCUUACGGGAGGCAGCAGCAAGGAAUUUUCCCCAAUGGGCGGAAGCCUGAGGUUGUAUUGUUUUUUUUGUGGACGACGGCCUUCGGGGUGUAAACUCCUUUCGGGUGGGACGACCGCGACGGUACCACCAGAAGUAGCCCCGGCUAACUCUGUGCCAGCAGCCGCGGUAAGACAGAGGGGGCAAGCGUUGUCCGGAGUUACUGGGCGUAAAGGGCGCGGAGGCGGUCUGCGGCGUCGGCGCUGAAAGCCCCCGCUUAACGGGGCGAGGCGUGCCGAUACGCGCAGACUUGAGGCGAGCAGAGGGUGGUGGAAUUUUCGGGUGGAGCGGGUGAAAUGCGUAGAGAUCCGGAGGAACGCCAGUGGGGGAAGCCGGUCACCUGGGUCUCGAUCUUGACGAUGUGGUGGGACAGCGUGGGGGGGAGCAAAACCGGAUUAGAUACCCGGGGUAGUUCAUGGCGUAGGCGAUGCCAGCUCUGCGCGCCUGUUGUUGCGCGUCACAGUUUUCGGUUGUGCUUUGUCGUUUGCCC